UACGGGGGGAGCAAGCGUUGUUCGGAUUUACUGGGCGUAAAGGGCGCGUAGGCGGCCACCGCAAGUCAAUUGUGAAAUCUCCGGGCUCAACCCGGAAAGGUCAACUGAUACUGCGGGGCUAGAGUGCAGAAGGGGCAACUGGAAUUCUCGGUGUAGCGGUGAAAUGCGUAGAUAUCGGGAGGAACACCAGUGGCGAAGGCGACUACCUGGCCUGUUCUUGACGCUGAGGCGCGAAAGCUAGGGGAGCAAACGGG
rnacentral:rRNA from 1 species